rnacentral:rRNA from 1 species
UACGUGGGGGGCAAGCGUUGUCCGGAAUCAUUGGGCGUAAAGAGCGUGUAGGCGGCCCGGUAAGUCCGCUGUGAAAGUCCAGGGCUCAACCCUGGGAUGCCGGUGGAUACUGUCGGGCUCGAGUCCGGAAGAGGAGUGUGGAAUUCCUGGUGUAGCGGUGAAAUGCGCAGAUAUCAGGAGGAACACCAAUGGCGAAGGCAGCACUCUGGGACGUGACUGACGCUGAGACGCGAAAGCGUGGGGAGCAAACAGG